rnacentral:rRNA from 1 species
UACGAAGGGAGCUAGCGUUGUUCGGAAUCACUGGGCGUAAAGCGCACGUAGGCGGAUGUGCCAGUCAGGGGUGAAAUCCCGGAGCUCAACUCCGGAACUGCCUCUGAUACAGCACGUCUUGAGUCCGGAAGAGGUGGGUGGAAUUCCUAGUGUAGAGGUGAAAUUCGUAGAUAUCGGGAGGAACACCAGUGGCGAAGGCGGCGAUCUGGGUCGAUACUGACGCUGAGGUGCGAAAGCGUGGGGAGCAAACAGG